UUGACGCGUCAAAUAGUUUUCAGAUAUGAAAAUAUUUAUAAGAAUUAUUUAACUUAGUGUAAUCAGCUUUCAAAACUUUAAAUGUUUAUUCUCGAAACGCAGUUUGCAGAGCCUGAGAGGAAAUCUUCUACAAAGCCGAUGGACUGAUCGACUGGAAAACGUUACGCCACAUUCUCAAAUAUAUUUGUUAGGAUAACAAUUUCGAUGUUAAAAGCCACUCUGAAAUUUGUUCAUCAAAAUCGACAACCAACAUUUUGUCAAGAGUCAAAGUUUUGAUUAGUCCUUCGUUAAUAACCUGACCUUCUGGAGAUCAGACCGUAGGAAAAUGAUUGCUGGAAAGAAAUUUUUCGACAAUGAACGCGUAACCGAGAAUUAUUUUGAAGCAAAUGCUUCUUAUAUUACAAAAUUUUAUCGAAAAGUAAGGAUUAAUUAGAAAGUGAACACUAAGAAUGUGUUGUUGGCUUAGUAAAAAAUAUCAAUCGACUUAAGCGACUCUCAAAUAUAACCAUAUAAAUGGA
rnacentral:lncRNA from 1 species